UGGCAUGAAGGAGAGUACGAGUUGUACAUUUCAUCACCUGGUUGGUGGCAUGAAGAUGAGUUCUUUCUUCACCUGGUUGGUGGCAUGAGUGGCAAGUUGCCAAAUGAUAUUAGAGUACUGGUUGUACAUUUCAUCACUUGGUUGGUGGCACGAAGAUGAGUUCCUUCUUCACCUGGUUGGUGGCAUGAGUGGCAAGUUG
rnacentral:lncRNA from 1 species